GUCAGAGUGGCAUAGUGGUUUAAGCACCAGACUAGGACUCUGGGAGACCAGGGUUCAGUUCCCAGCUCAGCCA